GGCAACUUAACAGAAUCUGAUAUCGAUUGGAAGCAAAAGCAAACCUUGUGAUUAUAGUUUUUGUUCCAGCUGGUGUAGUUUCACUUCAUUACGUGCAGUAUUACUAUAGGGAACUCGAUAUCAACGUGCACAGCGAAAUGAAUCAUCUAAAUACGAGCGUGUGAUGUGUGGUCGAUUAAGUGCACACCCCAUACUCCUUUCUCACAAAAGCACCGACCUCUUGAAUCAGCGUUGCUGUCGCAGACUGCAUGCAAUGCAGAACGAGACUUAACAAAAGGUUUAUUAAACUUUGAGAGGUUGGCAAGCUGGAUUUGAAGCUGAGCGUACCAUACUUCAGCUAAUGUGGUUUCUCGACUCGAUCAGAUGUAACAAUGAGUGCCAGUGAUAUCAACUCGAAAACAUGUUCCAGGAGACAAGAAACAGGUUGGUAAACAGGACGUCAGCUCACGACAAUGAAUUUGACACUGGGUUCAUGAACUGUAAAUUCCAAGCUCAGUUCAAACAAAAUCUGUGGUUAUUUUUCUUCAAGACGUUUAAUGACUCUCUGGUACUGGCUAAACAGGGCAAAAGAUCAAGGGGAAGACCCCGUGGAACCUGGAGAUGAAUCACAGAAAGUGAUGUACAGAAAAGUGGGAAGACAUGGAAUAACAUCAAGAGGCUAAACCAGGAUGGAGAAAGGUGGAAAGUGUUUGUUCGUGGCCUCUACCCUGGUGCAGGAUGAGAAAAGCAAUAAUGAUGCUGGUACUGGCUAAAUCCAGGAGUAAAGGUGCUGCCUCAGAAAAAGUCAAACUGCAUUGAGAACGAGUUUUGAAGUUCUUAGAACAAACAAACAAGAAUAUCAAAAGGGCACAACAAAAAGAGAGAUGAUGACCCGCACAAUACGUCUCCUUUCAACCCACCGACGCCCGUGGUUUAGCGGUUAGGCACUUCCCUGUCACAUGCAGAGGACCUGAGUUUGGUUCCCUCCUGGGGAGAAAUUUCACUGAGUACCUGUCUUUCUUCAAGGACGUUGUAUCCCUCUCAGCCCGGGUUGGGCCUGGCAAGACUGGCUCGAAAUGAUCUGAAUUGUGUCGAUGGGGUAGUAAAACACUUACAUUAUCAACAACAACAACAACAACAACAACAACAACAACAACAACAACAACAAUAGCAACAACAACAACAACAUCAAGAAACUUUCAACCAACAAGAAACGAGCUUUAACGUGAACGUUUCCGUAAUGUACGAACUGUUGUGACGAACCUCUGCACAUGCAUGCACAAACAUUAUUCAAAUGUAUAUUCGCCUAGCCUUUCCUGUUUCUGCUUGCCAUCUCCUGGUCUCAAUCCGUGUCUAUUUCACGCAUCAAUUGUUAAUACAUUUUAUAGAUAUUAAAGCUAUUCCUUCUUGCUUUUCCACAUU